rnacentral:rRNA from 1 species
AACGAACGCUGGCGGCAUGCCUAACACAUGCAAGUCGAACGACACCACCGUGACUGCUGGCUCACGGGUGCGUCGCGUGUGGGAAGCUGCCCUUAGGUUCGGAAUAAUUCUUCGACAGGGGUGCUAAUGCCGGAAAAUUUCUUCGAACCCCAGAUUGAUCGCCUUUGGGUGGGCGCGCGUUGGAUUAGCUUGUUGGUAGGGGAAGAGCCUACCAGGGCUACGCUCCAUAGCUGGUCUGAGAGGAUGAGCAGCCACACUGGGACUGAGACACGGCCCAGAAUCUUACGGGAUGCAGCAGUGGGGAAUAUAGGACUAUGGGGGAAAGCCUGAUGCAGCAAGGCUGGGUGAGUGAUGAAGUCGUUAGGGAAGUAAAGCUCGUUUACCCGGGAUGAUAAUGACGGUACCGGGAGAAUAAGCACCGGCUAACUCCGUG